UUAAUUCAUACAAUUCGAUUUUGUGUUCAAACUCUCUGAAAUAUCAGCAGCUAUGGCCUGAUUUUCUUUUCUUCACACUUUGUUGAUAAUGUAACAGGUUGGUGAUAGAAUGAACAGGGAAGUUGGAACAAAUGAUGCUGAAAUGUACAAGGAAGUUGGAACAAAUGAUGCUGAAAUAAACAAGUGUGAAAUGAAUAAAAAAGUUUCUUCAAUUGCUGAUAUUCUUGAGAACCAUCAUACAAAGAAGAAAAGGAGCAGGACUACUUGCAAACGACUUGCUUGAGGGGACUAAUAGAAUACACUUUGCA